rnacentral:rRNA from 1 species
UACAGAGGGUGCGAGCGUUAAUCGGAGUUACUGGGCGUAAAGGGCGCGUAGGCGGUUCUGUAAGUGAGAUGUGAAAUCCCCGGGCUUAACCUGGGAACGGCAUCUUAGACUGCAGGACUGGAGUACUGUAGAGGACAGUGGAAUUUCCGGUGUAGCGGUGAAAUGCGUAGAGAUCGGAAGGAACAUCAGUGGCGAAGGCGACUGUCUGGACAGAUACUGACGCUGAGGCGCGAAAGCGUGGGGAGCAAACAGG